rnacentral:lncRNA from 1 species
UGGCUCCGUGCGAUCCUUGCAGAAAGAGAAGAACCUAUCCGUUUCAUCUUUUUUCGACUUGUUGCUGAAGAGUAUUGACGUAGCGAGACGAUAUCGUCGCCAUCUUUCUCUUGAAUCGGUGAAUGGAUUUCUCCGAUAUUCAUCCCACUUUAUCGAUCCACGUGUCCGUUCUAUUCAGUAUUUGGAGACGUUUGGAAACUAAAGAAUGGGAGGUGUGGUGGAUAAUUUCAUUUUAAUGAGCCCCUUUCAAAUAAAUUGUAUAUUGAGAGCUCUAGCGCAAUGUAAAUGGGAUGUUUCUUCUUUUUUUUAUAUAUGUCGCAUGGAAAUGAUACAUUUGGCUGUUACGAAAUUUAAAGAAGACAAGCACAGGAAUGAGUUAAUUUUCCAUAUGGUGACAAUUACCGAAUACUUCAUUUGCCUAUCUCUACUCUUUAAAAUUUACAUAUUCAUUUUCUCACAACAGUGGAAAAGCAACCAACAAAAAGGAGUUCUAAGAAGACAAUAGCCCUUUCCAGUUAGCCUCAUUCUUAGGUAUAGCUGAAAAAAAACUCUUCUGGGCCCAAGCCCAGAAAUCCACACAUAGCCUUAAUCGUCGAAGCCAGGAAUAGUUCAAGGACCUCCACUGUAUUUCGGAACUCUCAUUUAACUUGGUCAUUGUCUCUUCUAAUUCCUGCCGUAUAAGGGAUAAACUGAAGAAGAUGAACUGUCAUUGGAAAUAUAUUUAUGUUUCAAGUGACCUUUUAGUUUAUCCACAAAACUUAGAUUGUGGUUGACCAGGAAAUGUUAAAAUGCUACCCAAGUGAAAGCGGCUUGACUUGGAAAGACUAACCGUUCGGUAUCUAACUAUAUUUAGAAGCCAGGGAGAAAUUUAACCAUGAAUCAUAUAUUGGAGUAAUGAAUACUUAUAUUAAAGAAACAGAAGGCGUACGAGAGAGAUACGAUAUGGGGUAUUCUUAUAUUUUUAAUUCAUUGAUAGGUUUAUUAUUUGAAAUAAGACUAGAAGUGAUCUUAUUCAAUAUUUAUAAUGAUAUUGUAGAAUACAAUUAGAA